CCCGUGUCGUCGGGUCAAACCGGCGACUGCGUUGGCGUUGCGGGCUCGGUCCGUCGGUGCCCCACAAAGGUUAUCGGCGUGUCAACCGGCCCGCCCGUCCCCUCCUUCUGGAUUCCCGUUCCUGCUAUUGAGUUAGUGGGGACGUCACAGGGGGUCCAUCGUCGACGUUUCAACGCGUCGGUGGUGGAUCUCUGGGGCCCAGAUCGUUUACCGUGAAAAAAUUAGAGUGUUCAAAGCAGGCAGAUUCAAUUUUCUGCCACCGAAUACAUUAGCAUGGGAUAAUGGAAUAGGACCCUGUCCUCCUAUUUUCAGUUGGUUUUGGCAGCGCGAGGACUAGGGUAAUGAUUAAUAGGGAUAGUUGGGGGCAUUAAUAUUUAAUUGUCAGAGGUGAAAUUCUUGGAUUUAUGAAAGAUUAACUUCUGCGAAAGCAUCUGCCAAGGAUGUUUUCAUUAAUCAAGAACGAAAGUUAGGGGAUCGAAGACGAUCAGAUACCGUCGUAGUCUUAACCAUAAACGAUGCCGACCAGCGAUUAGGAGACGUUGAAUACAAAACACCACCAUCGGCGCGGUCGUCCUUGGCGUUCGUGUUCACGCACGGGCGCGAGGGCGGCUUAGCCCGGUGGCACCGGUGAAUGACUCCCCUAGCAGCUUGUGAGAAAUCAUAAGUCUUUGGGUUCCGGGGGGAGU
rnacentral:rRNA from 1 species